UACGUAGGGUGCAAGCGUUAAUCGGAAUUACUGGGCGUAAAGCGUGCGCAGGCGGUUGUGUAAGACAGAUGUGAAAUCCCCGGGCUCAACCUGGGAACCGCAUUUGUGACUGCACAGCUGGAGUGCGGCAGAGGGGGAUGGAAUUCCGCGUGUAGCAGUGAAAUGCGUAGAUAUGCGGAGGAACACCGAUGGCGAAGGCAAUCCCCUGGGCCUGCACUGACGCUCAUGCACGAAAGCGUGG
rnacentral:rRNA from 1 species